UACAGAGGUCCCAAGCGUUGUUCGGAUUCACUGGGCGUAAAGGGUGCGUAGGCGGUCGGGUAAGUCUGAUGUGAAAUCUCACAGCUUAACUGUGAAACUGCAUUGGAUACUAUUCGGCUUGAGAGUUGGAGGGGGGACUGGAAUUCUUGGUGUAGGCAGUGAAAUGCGUAGAUAUCAAGAGGAACACCAGUGGCGAAGGCGAGUCCCUGGACAACUUCUGACGCUGAGGCACGAAAGCUAGGGGAGCAAACAGG
rnacentral:rRNA from 1 species